ACCAAAUAUUAGUCCGGUAUCGAUAACUAACUUUUCGCAGAGCGACAGCCCUGCAACUAUCGAUCACCCAUCAGCUGGCAGGCGGCCAUGCAGUUCCACUGAAACUACAGCUGUUCAAAUUACAUAAAAAUGGCGAGCUCCGUGAUUCUGGCGGGACUUGGGGUGGCCGCCGUGGGCUUUGCCGGGAAGCACCUGAUCCGCCGGAUGCCCCAGAUGACCACCAAGUUCAACGAGGCCCUCAAGAACCUGCCCAAAUUCGAUGCGGAGAGCAUGGCGGCCUCCAAGUACUACAAGGGCGGCUUCGAUCCCAAGAUGAACAAGCGGGAGGCCUCCCUCAUCCUGGGUGUCAGCCCCAGUGCGUCGAAGAUCAAGAUCAAGGACGCUCACAAGAAGAUCAUGCUGCUGAACCACCCGGAUCGAGGGGGCUCACCAUACUUGGCGGCCAAGAUCAACGAGGCAAAAGACUUUCUAGACAAAGCCAAGUAGUCAUCUUACCUCCGCCUUUGAGUGCAAAUAAAGUAGUUUGUGAUUAGCAUAAAAAUUGCAAUGGCUGUAAUUACCUUUACCAUCGACUUUUACAAUUGCCUAAAAUUCUACGGCAUCCCAAGGAUUUACUACAAGUACUACACGAAAAGUAGCAGGACUGUUGAAAUUUUCUAUAGCCAUUUAAGUAUAUGAAUGUAUAAUUCGUUUUUAGCGUAUAAACAAAAUCUAGACAAUUAAACUUGAAAGGUAAAUGUGUA